rnacentral:tRNA from 1 species
GCCUGGGUGGCUCAGUUGGUUGAGCGUCUGACUCUUGGUCUCGGCUCAGGUCAUGAUCUCACAGUUCGUGAGUUCGAAACCCACAUUGGGCU